AAAUAGAAGUGAUAGAACUAUUCUCUGAACAUCUGGGGACAGCAGAGUUCUUAAUUGUCUUGAGUACUUAAGAAUAUAUCUUGAAUUGUUUCACAAAAUUGACUAGGACAUAAUGCUAAAAAUUCAGACUGUUUUAGAAUCUUGUGUUCAUAUGAGUUAAAGAAAAAUUCAAAUAGUAACUGUCUUUGAAUAAGGGAAAUUUUACAAUAAAAAUUUUCAAAAUUAUUGUUCAAGAUUUAUACUUAGAUAUAUUACGUUGAGUUUAUUUUCUGGAAUCAGCUUGCCAAAAGAGGAAAAGUUUAUUUUUAGUGAAGGUAAAAAUUGAUUGUAAUUAUUUGGUAGCAACCCUUACUAGUAGAAUAAGAGCUGAAGUACCAAUAUUAGUGAUUUUCACAGUUCUGAACCAAGCCUGGUUGCAUGGUGGUUUUUAGGACAACAGUGAAGAGCUUUAAUUUUUAUGUUUUGGGAAAUAGCUUGUGAGAGGUAAGAAGGAUUGCAAAGUUUUUCCAAAAUAUUUUAUGAAGUUAGUGAAGUCAGUUGAAAUGUGUAUUUAAACAUUUGAAGGGAUAUAGUUAACAUUUUUUUAAUGAGAGGAAACCACUGUCUGUAGUUCAGAAAUAAGAUGGAGUGUUUUACUUAUUUAAGGGGUAAUUUAAAAAGUAAACAAAAGCAUUGGCCUACAAGAGAAAGGUGAUGUUGGAUUAUAAGUGCUUUUUCUAAUCGUUAAUAUUAAUCAACAGGUGAGUAUAUUUUCCAUUUCCAAGCAGUUAUUAAUUUACAUUUUCUCAAAUUAUAAGUAGCUUCCUGCUUCUCCAAAAGUGAGGCUUAAGAGGAUGGCUAUUUCAUCAUAAAUUAGAAAAACGACUACAAAUAUGAAAUGGUUAAUUUUUUGGUACUAAGAUAAUGAGACCAUCCAGAAUUUUAUGAUCAAAACAUGGCUUUUACCCAGGGAGUAUCUGUAGUUGAGCCACUGGCUCUAUAACAUUGUUAGUUCUUUGUAUCUUCCCAAUGGAGGUUUUACCUCAUGGCCAUAAAAAUAAAAGAGGGUUAAAUGUGAAAAUAACUGCAUUUUGAACAUCUCAGACCCUCCACUCAUAAAAAUUACUUAAUGUUCCUCUUCCUUGAAUUACAUAUUUUCCAUUGUAAUAAAUUCCUGUUUUGAAAACCAAGGAAAGGAACAUUUUUUGAAGAAAGCAGUUCAGUGGCCUCUUUAACAGGUUUAUCAAGAGGUUGAUAUGUAGGGAUAGGUUGUGGGGGAGAAGAGGGUGCUAUGAAAUGUAAAAUUAAGGAUGUAAAAAUAACAUUAGGGAUGCCACAAAAGGUGAAAUAUAAACCAUGAUCAUUUGAGACAAGGGAAAAACAGGGCUUUGAAAAUGCCUGUCAUGUGAUAGGAGGCAUCUGUAAGGGAGAGACUGAAAUGGCUCCCAGGGGUAGUAUAUCCAUCCUCUUCCCGAUAUACCUGUGCCAUACAAAUAAUGACCCUCAGCACGUUAAAAUGUGGUUUACAUUCAGGGUCAUCAGAGUUUAGGCCUAAUUUCUGCAAUUCAGGUAUUCAUCAUUACCUUGCAAACUUACUGUACCAACAUAAAAAGCAUUUUGCUGGUGUGGCGGGGAGAAUCAGGUUAAAUUAAGUAGAAGCAUUUUGGAAACUUUGCCUAGUACUUCAUGACUUUUGAAAAUUAUAAGUGAAAACAGAGAUAAGUCCUAUUCUUCGCUCACAUUAUUUCCCACAGGCCUUUCCAGAUCCUUAUAGCUAAAAAUUUCCCUUUUGCCAUUAACUGUCAUUAAAAAAAAAGAUUACAGUCUUUAUGUAUAAAACCGCUGCCCUUUAUAACAUUUUAUGUGACUUGUUUGCUUCACUAGAUUGUAAGCCUUUGGAGGUCAGAAAAAAAUGCAUCUAAAUGUAUCUGCCACCACAUCUAGCACAGUGCCUUACACUUAUUUGCUAUUCAAUAAAUAUAUUCAUUAAAAUAAUGGACAUAUUACUGGAUUGCAGUUUAAUGUCUAUGAGCCCUUUAAAUGCAUUAUCAAAUUUUUAACUUUUUAUAGUUUGUCAGUGUACACCUAGCACAUAUGUGACCUUUGUAGCAUUUAUAAAAGAUUUACACAUUUAAUUGUACUGGCUCUCCACAGCUAGCAGAGUCUAUAACAGUACAGUGUAGUAGAAAUAUAAUGCAAGCUACAUAUGUAAUUUUAAGGUUUCUAGCUACAUUAAAGUAAAAAUACUUUUAGGCAAUUAUUUCCAAAACAUUUAAUAUGUAAUUGCCUUAAAACUAAUUUUAAUUUACAUUUAAUACAGUUUUCAUGGUAAGUCUUUGAAAUGUGACAGGUACUUUACACAUCACAACAAGCCACAUUUCAAGUGCUCCCUGGCCACAUGUGGCUACUGACUUGUAUUGGACAGUGCAGAUGUAGAACUUUAGCGUAGGCAGUCAGCCUUUCUGGACCUCAGUUUUCCUAGAAAUCAGAUAUUUAAUAUGUCAUUUUCAUUUUAGAUUGUCGUAAUCCAAAUAAAAGCUAAUUGGUUUAGCUCAUUAUUGUCAUGUUCACAAAGCCAUAAAAUUUGAAAAAAAAUUUUUGUCUUAAGCAUUGUACAGAGAUAUUUAAGAGGCACUUUCCAACUUUCCACCCAUUUUAGCCCCCACCCCCCACCUCAGUUUUAUGAAAAUAGCUCUGUUUUAGAGUUGAGGUAGGAGUGAGAUAGAACAAGUUAAUCUUGCUAACAUGUUGCUAGUAGGAGAUAGAGCUAGUUUCAGAACCAGGGUUGGUUGAUUGUGGAUAUUCCAUAUAACCUCUCGAAAGUUCAGAACUUAAUAAGGUUGGGGAAAAAAUUUCGAGCUCUGUGCGUGUAAAGGUGGGUUCUAGACCAUAGGCUAAAGACAUGUAAUGAAAUAAAGGUUAUUUCCUUAGAUGAGGUCCGUAGUGACAGAAAUUGAAUUAUGUUUCAUGCUUUAGGUGUGGAAAUUCUCUGCCAUAAAGAAUUUCCUUAUGGCUGAAGUUUAUUACAUUUUUUUUCCCUUUUCUAAUCAUAAGAGCAAUUUGGAAAUUUAAAUUAUCUAUUGUCCAGUUAACUUAUUCUAAUUGCCUCUAAGAAAUCAGAUGGGAAAGAAGUCUUUUAAUUGGAUGUUGUAGUGAUGUCUGAUUUGAACAGAACUCAAAACAUUUUGUCUUUAAAAUAUACUGGCCCUUGGUGAAAAGAGUAAUUUCAAAAUAAGGCUUUAAAAGGAAGCAAAAGUUUUAAACAAAAUAAAAGGCAACAUAAUUUACCAGACAGGUUAAUAACUUACAUUAUUUGUCAUGAGAUUAGUUUUUUAAAAGGUAAUUUACAAAAGUGUAAAGCACUCAAGUCCAUAGGAGGCACUUGAUAUAUGUAGAUCCACUCAACAUACACCUAUUUUAGUAUAAACAGAUAAUUCAAGGACGCUUAAAAACUGCCAAAGUGAAAUUAAUAAAUGUUUAAAUAUGUACCUAGAAAUAUUAAAAAGUGGUAAGCUUUCCAAUGAUGUUACACUGUAGUCUUUUAAAUGGUUUAGUCACAAACAGAAAAGUAUAUUUGUGAUGUUUAGACAAUAAUAGCUAAUCGUGAGGAUCAGUGAAAUUGUUUACUUUUAUACACCACUGUGGAGUUGGUACCACCAUUCUACAAAGCAGUUUGACUGUAUCAAGAAUGUUUGUUUUUACCCUUUGACCCAGUAAUUGUAUUAAAGUUGAUUCUAAAUAAUUAGAAAUGUGCAUAGGUUUAUCAUCAAGGAUGGUAAUAUCAAUGGACUUUAGUGGUUAGCAAUAAUGGAACAGGAUGGUACAUUCUGAUAAAGGAUAAUAAUGCAUCAUUAAAGAUCUAUGUUUUUGUAAUACGGGAAAAUAUUCAUGAAACUACAUACAUCAUUAAAAAACAUUUGUUUCCCCACUUUGAAGGAUAAGAUCCUAGGAAAGAGAGAUGACAGGCGCAGGCUCUGUCUUUAGAACGUGUUCAAAUCCCGGCUUUGUUAGUUUUAUGAUCCUAAGUUCCUUUCUGUCUCAGUAAUUUGCCUGUAUAAUGAUUGAAACUAUAGUACUGUACCUACACCAUGGGGUGAAUGCAUGAAGGUGAAAUGAAAGUGCUUAGUGUCUGUACCGCCUAAGUAAAUUUUCGCGAUAAUAGUCUUCCUGCAUCUGUCACUGUAGCGAACAAUACAGAAAAAAAAAUUUAGAAAUGUGAUGAAUUAGUAAAAGGAAAACCCCAUGAGACUCUAAGAGGGAUUUUACCUAAUCUGCCAACCUGCCUCCUGCAAGCACUUGGAUUUUGGUUGGGCUCCCGGAGCCGGCGUGAAUUGAGCUCUACCCUUGCCCGUGAGCGCGCAAAAGAGAUUUUGUUGGUGGGGUGGCGGCCUGAUGAGUUGUAGUCUUUAUUCUAGGGCUGUUUUACUCGCCACCCCCCCAGCCCCCAACACACCCCUUUUAAAAUACCGACUCAAAGGCGUCCUCCAUUCCCCCUCUCCCUUAGGCGUCACGCAAAGCUCGGACCUGCUCCCACCCGGAGCCGAGUGUACGGUGAGGCGCGGAGCGUUGCGGGGUCGGGGAAGCGCUACCACCCGCUCCAUCCCUCUGCGGGUUCGUGUCACGAAGACUACAGUUCCCAGCGGGCUCCACGAGCUCCGGUUGCCCCUCAGGCAGCGCCCGGCGACUACAGGGGUGCUGUAGUUUCUUCCGGGCUCCCUACAACCUUCUUCCCUCUCCUCCGCAAUACAGGCAGUUACCGGGUGCUGGGGCUGUCCUUUGAUUUCCGGAAAUGGCCGGUCGCCAGUGUUGUCAGAGUUUCCACGGAAGACUGCGCGCUACUCCGGCCAGGAGGGCGGAGCGGCGAGACGCUAGAGGCUUUGCGCUGGGUGACGACUUCGGGCACGUUCUACGGCCGUUCCUCUCUCUGGUCGGCUGGGGACGCCGGCCGCGCACGCGCGGCGUGGGGCGUGGGGCUGGGCCCAGCCGGACGCGACCGCAGCCUGCGGCGGCUAACUGCCGGUAUAUUCAUAUUUUAAUGAUCUUCUGGUCAUUUGUUGCUGGAGUUGUCACAUUCUACUGCUCACUAGGACCUGAUUCUCUCUUACCAAAUAUAUUCUUCACAAUAAAAUACAAACCCAAGCAGUUAGGACUUCAGGAAUUAUUUCCUCAAGGUCAUAGCUGUGCUGUUUGUGGUAAAGUGAAAUGUAAACGACAUAGGCCUUCUUUGCUACUUGAAAACUACCAGCCAUGGCUAGACCUGAAAAUUUCUUCCAAGGUUGAUGCAUCUCUCUCAGAGGUUCUUGAAUUAGUGUUGGAAAACUUUGUUUAUCCGUGGUACAGGGAUGUGACAGAUGAUGAAUCCUUUGUUGAUGAACUGAGAAUAACAUUACGUUUUUUUGCAUCUGUCUUAAUAAGAAGGAUUCACAAGGUGGAUAUUCCAUCUAUUAUAACCAAGAAACUAUUAAAAGCAGCAAUGAAGCAUAUAGAAGUGAUAGUUAAAGCCAGACAGAAAGUAAAAAAUACAGAGUUUUUACAGCAAGCUGCUUUAGAAGAAUAUGGUCCAGAGCUUCAUGUUGCUUUGAGAAGUCGAAGAGAUGAAUUGCACUAUUUAAGGAAACUUACUGAACUGCUUUUUCCUUAUAUUUUGCCUCCUAAAGCAACAGACUGCAGAUCUCUGACCUUACUUAUAAGAGAGAUUCUGUCUGGCUCUGUGUUCCUUCCUUCUUUGGAUUUCCUAGCUGAUCCAGAUACUGUGAAUCAUUUGCUUAUCAUCUUCAUAGAUGACAGUCCACCUGAAAAAGCAACUGAACCGGCUUCUCCUUUGGUUCCAUUCUUGCAGAAAUUUGCAGAACCUAGAAAUAAAAAGCCAUCUGUGCUGAAGUUAGAAUUGAAGCAAAUCAGAGAGCAACAAGAUCUUUUAUUUCGUUUUAUGAACUUUCUGAAACAAGAAGGCGCAGUGCACGUGUUGCAGUUUUGUUUGACUGUGGAGGAAUUUAAUGAUAGAAUUUUACGACCAGAAUUAUCAAAUGAUGAAAUGCUGUCUCUUCAUGAAGAAUUGCAGAAGAUUUAUAAAACAUACUGUUUGGAUGAAAGUAUUGACAAAAUUAGAUUUGAUCCCUUCAUUGUAGAAGAGAUUCAAAGAAUUGCUGAAGGCCCAUACAUAGAUGUUGUGAAACUUCAAACUAUGAGAUGUCUUUUUGAAGCAUAUGAACAUGUUCUUUCCCUUUUGGAGAAUGUAUUUACUCCUAUGUUCUGCCAUAGUGAUGAGUAUUUCAGACAACUUUUAAGAGGUGCAGAAUCACCAACACGCAAUUCAAAAUUGAACAGAGGUAGCCUAAGUUUGGAUGAUUUUCGGAACACACAGAAAAGGGGAGAAUCAUUUGGAAUCAGCAGAAUAGGUAGCAAAAUUAAAGGAGUAUUCAAAAGUACCACAAUGGAGGGAGCUAUGUUGCCUAAUUAUGGUGUAGCUGAAGGUGAAGAUGAUUUUAUUGAAGAAGGUAUUGUUGUAAUGGAAGAUGAUUCUCCAGUGGAGGCUGUGAGCACACCUAAUACUCCCCGAAACCUUGCUGCAUGGAAAAUUAGCAUUCCAUAUGUAGACUUUUUUGAGGAUCCCUCCUCUGAAAGGAAAGAGAAAAAAGAAAGAAUUCCUGUAUUUUGUAUUGAUGUUGAAAGAAAUGAUAGGAGAGCAGUUGGACACGAGCCUGAACAUUGGUCUGUCUAUAGAAGAUAUCUUGAAUUCUAUGUACUUGAAUCAAAACUAACAGAAUUUCAUGGUGCAUUUCCUGAUGCCCAGCUUCCUUCUAAGAGGAUCAUUGGCCCCAAAAAUUAUGAAUUCUUAAAGUCAAAGAGGGAAGAGUUCCAAGAAUAUCUACAGAAACUUCUGCAGCAUCCAGAACUGAGUAAUAGUCAACUUCUGGCAGACUUUCUUUCCCCUAAUGGUGGGGAAACACAAUUUCUUGAUAAGAUACUACCAGAUGUAAAUCUUGGGAAAAUUAUAAAAUCUGUUCCUGGAAAACUAAUGAAAGAGAAAGGUCAGCAUUUGGAACCUUUUAUCAUGAAUUUCAUUAAUUCUUGUGAGUCUCCAAAGCCUAAACCAAGUAGACCAGAACUGACCAUUCUCAGCCCUACUUCAGAAAACAACAAGAAGCUUUUCAAUGAUCUGUUUAAAAAUAAUGCAAACCGUGCUGAAAAUACAGAGAGAAAGCAAAAUCAGAAUUAUUUUAUGGAGGUGAUGACUGUAGAAGGAGUCUAUGAUUACCUGAUGUAUGUAGGACGGGUAGUUUUCCAGGUUCCUGACUGGCUUCAUCAUCUCUUAAUGGGAACUCGAAUCCUCUUUAAAAACACCCUGGAAAUGUAUACUGAUUACUAUCUUCAGUGUAAACUAGAACAGCUAUUUCAGGAGCACCGUUUGGUCUCACUCAUAACACUUCUCAGAGAUGCUAUAUUCUGUGAAAACACUGAACCUCGCUCUCUCCAAGAUAAGCAAAAAGGAGCAAAACAGACUUUUGAAGAAAUGAUGAAUUACAUUCCAGGGAAGCAUUCAGUGGAGAUCUUAAUAAGGAUUGACUUUUCUUGGUAACAGAAUUGAUAUCAGUGGUACAUGACAUCUAUGCAGCCAGACACAAAUCUGAACUCGUUGGACCCUAAAUAAGUGUUUAAAUAUUUGUUAUAUUUCCCAAAAUGAUUGGUUUGUAAGAUGGUUAAUAGUAACUUAUGCAAAAGUCCAGAAAUUAGGUGUUCUUAUUCACUGAGAAAAGUCUGCCUUAAAAAUUAAACUUUUUUUUUCUGAUAUUAAGAGCACUAUGAAAAUAUAUAGAAUAAAAAGUAGAAGCUAUCUUCUGCCCACUGGGUAGAAGUCGGCUUAUCCUACAUUGGGUGUUAAUCCUUACAUUUUUCCAUGCAUUUCUAUACAUGUAUGUACAGAUGUGCAAACAUCAUUUUAGGGUUUAAUUUGUUUUGUUUUCCCUUAGUGGGGUAAUACAAUAAGUAUUAUUUUCCAACUAGCAGAUUUUUUUUUUUUUUUUACUGCAGCAUUUCUCAGAGUUUGCAUUAUGCCUUGUGCAUUGUGCAUCUCCAAAAAUGGGAUACAUGAUACUGCAUUUGUCAACUUGACCAUAGAAACCUCUUAUCCAGGAGCCUCUUAUAGAAACACUGGUUUGGGGAGUAUUGAUUUGCAGUUUUUGCCUAGUAUCUGGGAAACAGGGUGGUGAUUUUGCUUUAUGAUCCAGUUAAUGGUGAGUCACUUUAUAAUAUAAAAUUAUUUCACAUUUGGCCUUUUUGUUUAGAUCUGUUAGUCAAGUGUAUUGGUGAAGAAACCAAGUAUGAAAGCAUCAGACUUCUGUUUGAUGGCUUACAGCAACCAGUACUCAACAAGCAGCUGACUUAUGUUUUAUUGGACAUUGUGAUACAGGAACUGUUUCCAGAGCUCAAUAAGGUACAAAAGGAAGUUACCUCUGUGACAUCUUGGAUGUAAACACUUGGAUUUGGUAUAGAAUAACCCAUUGAAAUUUCUGCUGUGCGAGGGUGGUAGAAAUUUACUUUUUUGGGUAUAUUCUUAUAUAUAUUAUGUACAUCGCUGUCUGAAAUUUUAGUUAUUUUUUGUUUUUAAUAAAGACUAACACAAACUUAAUGAUUAAAAGUGA